rnacentral:lncRNA from 1 species
GUAGUAGUAAUACGUGUGCAAAGAACUGACUCGUUGGAAAAGACCCUGAUGCUGGGAGAGAUUGAAGGUGGGAGGAGAAGGGGAUGACAGAGGAUGAGAUGGUUGGAUGGCAUCACCGCCCCGAUGGACAUGAGUUUGAGCAAGCUCCGGGAGUUGGUGACGGACAGGGAAGCCUGGCAUGCUGCAGUCCAUGGGGUCGCAGAGAGCCAGACAUGACUGAGCAACUGAACAACAAUAAAUGCUCUCUGACAUUGAUCUUAACAAUAAUUUGCUGGAUCUGUCUCCUCAGGCAAGGAAAACAAAAGCAAAAGUAAGAAAUGGGACUAUAUCCUUUUCACACCAGAGGAAACAUCAACCAAACCACACCUAUAGAACGGGAAUAUUUGCAGAUGACAUGCCUGAUGAGGGUUAAUAUCCAAAACAUGCAAAGAACUCCUACAACUCAACAUCAAAAUAAGUAAACAACCUGAUUAAAAAGUGGGCAGAGGAUCUGAACAGACAUUUUUCCAAAAACGACACACACACGGCCAACAGGCACGUGAAAAGGAGCUCAGCGUCACUCGUCGCUUCCUAGAAGCUGGGCCAGGGCGUCCGAGCAGCUUCCUGGGAGGACUCACUGUGGGAAGGUCUCGGAGCUGUUCCUCCAGCUUUGCUGAGCUCUGGGCUCUGCAGGCCCUGCGAGAGGAAGCCGAGCCCCACGGGGGCUUAGAGACCCGCCCGAGGCCACGCAUCCAGUGGAGGCACAGCCCGGACUCAGCCCCAGACUGUCCUGCAGGAUGCCUUUGCAGCUGUGAGCCUCGCUGUGGUCCCCGCCAGGCACGGGGCAUCGAGAUGGAAGAGAGAGGAGGAUGCGGGAGAGACGGCGGGGCUGCAGGACCCCAGGCAGGGCGGGGAGCCUCGGGCGCAGACCCCCAAGCCCACACCUGGCCCUCAGCCUGCAGGCAGGGGGACACUCAUGGCCCCCCAGAGUCCCGAGCUGAGAGUACAGAACGAACCGUCGGCUCUCUCUCCGCAGCCAGCUGCCUGCUCUCACUGACCUGCCCUGUAGGAGGGCCCAUCGCAGCCACUCCGGUGGUGCUGGGCCAGCCCUGCUCUGCGAUUCCGGCCGCAGCUGUGACAGACACACACGGGGGCCUCCCCGACCCACCGCCCCUUCCAACACACGAGGAGAGAAGGCAGCGGCCCCUCCGAGCGGAGGGGUGGGAACCUGUCGCUUCUGCCCCAUCCGUUCAUCUCCAGCCGUGCACAUCCAGGCGAGAAGCCCACCCGAGCGCGCGGUCCCCUGCUGCAGGCCUCCCACCCAGUCCUCCACACUGUGGCCGCAAACCGGUUUUGACAGAGCCACCUGCUGACCAGAGCCCUCGGGGGCCCCCACCACCAGGGCUGGGGACCCCCACCACUAGGGUUGCCACCACCCCCCACCAACAAGGCAUUAUGUGCUCCAGGUCGCCCUCCAGCCUAGCCCUGGGCCUCCAGCAAUUCAGGUCGUUACUAGCCGGAGGCGCCCUUCAUCCUCCGGACCUUUGACCGUACCCUUCCUAGCCAACCUGUCUUCCAAAAGGCCUCCCCAGUCCCUCCCCCAGGCUCCCCAGGGCACCACUGACAUGUGCUCCCACCAGGACGUCCCCUCAAUUCCUGAGUCCCCACCCCCACCGCCCACCCCCAGCAUCCCAGGCCCAUCCCAGAUUCACGGGCCCACGGCUGCCCUGCCCACCUGGAGUCAGGAAGGCGUGCUGGCCCCACAGAACCCUGGAACUGCUGGGUUCUGCUCACCUGUCAGAGAAGGAAGGGGGGCCCGUGGGGAGGGGCUGGGCAGGCCCAGAGCUCUGGCAGACCUGGCUGUUCUGGGCGGAAGGGCUGCUGACAAGAGGCAACCGGCCGUCAGUGACAGGCGGUCAGGCGCUGGCACCUGCCAGCAUAUCUGCCCUCCAGCACACGUCAAGGAAGGGCCUGCGGGUCUUGGGGACGCUGGCCAGGCCCCUCCCCACCCCCCAGGGGGCUGCAGGACUCUGCCCCUCAGAUGGGCAGCCAGGCUGGGGGCUCCUGAGUCCUGCUGUCUCACCCAACCAGGCUGGCCCUCAUUCCCAGGCCAGGGUGGAGGUCUGCAAACAUAGAGGGUGGUCUGCACAUGGCACCCAGGAACACAGGAUCUGACUCAUGCCCCUCAGGACUUGCUGGCUCUGCAGUCUUGGCCUCCUGGUCCUGUUUCUACAUCCAGGAAACACGGGCGACGUUGAUGGGGAGCCCUCAGCACAGAGCUUCCCAGGAAGUAAGGGCCCCCUCCCAUCGUGUGCUGCUGUUCAGCCUCUCAUGGACUGCAGCACACCAGGCUUCCCUGUCGAUCACCAACUCCCAGAGCUUGCUCAAACUCAUGUCCAUUGAGUCGGUGAUGCCAUCCAACCAUCUCAUCCUCUGUCGUCCCCUUCUCCUCCUGCCCUCAAUCUUUCCCGCUACACGGUCUUUCCGAAUGAGUCGGCUCUUCGCAUCAGGUGCCAAAGUAUCGGAGCUUCAGCUUCAGCGUCAGUCCUUCCAGUGAACAUUCAGGACUGAUCUCCUUUAGGAUGGACCUGUUGGAUCUCCUUGCAGUCCUGUCCGUGUUGGCUGUUCUCUCUCUCCCUGCCCCUACCCGUGACUUCCACUCUCUCUGCUGAUGCCAAGUUGCAGGCCCUUGCUUUGCUUCCACUGCUGCCCAACAAGCUCCCCUCCCCAUCGCCCUGACCAGGCCAGGGCCAGGUUCUGGGACAGGUGGUGAGGACCAGCCUGAGGGUCUGACCUGCAGAAUUCUGGGCGUUGCCCCAGCCUCAGCCAGGCCCCUGGCCAGGGGACACAGGAGGAGUGUCCUGGAUACCCCCGCAUAUCUGCUGUCCCCUCGGUCAUUCCACCCGGAGCCCAGAGCCCCGCGGAAGCACCUCAGAGCUAGCGGGGAACCUCCAGCUGGACGCCUGGUGAGCAGAGGCCAGAGGCCUCCCCAAGCUGCUUCUCUCUCAGUGGCAGGCCGCCGUGGGGACCAUCCACCUCCUCCUUCUCUGUGCCCUGCCUGGGAGAGGAUUCCAACAAAUGGGGAGCGGGGGGCGGUGUCUUGUCUCCAUCCCUGUUUCCCGUCUGGGAAGAGAGAAUUUCCUUAACUACCCUCCUUCUGGUCCUUUCUCAUAGAAGAACUUUUUAAAGAUUAUUUCGGGCACCCGUGCGAACAUGGCGCUACGCGCGGUGCGGAGCGUGCGGGCCGCUGUCGGCAGCCUGCACGCCAUCUCGGCACCCAGCGCGCCCUGCUCGCUGCGGCCCUGGGAACUGCGGGCGGGUGCCCCGGGCGCUGCGCACCGGCCCUGCUCUGCUGUCGGUGCGGAAAUUCACAGAAAAACACGAAUGGGUAACAACAGAAAAUGGUGUUGGAACAGUGAGAACCAGCAAUUUUGCACAGGAAGCUUUGGGAGAUGUUGUUUAGUCUGCCUGAAGUUGGGACAAAGUUGAAUCAACAAGAGUUUGGUGCUUUGGAAAGUGUGAAAGCUGCUAGUGAACUCCAUUCUCCUCUAUCAGGAGAAGUAACGGAAAUUAAUAAAGCUCUAGCAGAAAAUCCA